rnacentral:rRNA from 1 species
GCAUAUCAAUAAGCGGAGGAAAAGAAACCAACAGGGAUUGCCCCAGUAACGGCGAGUGAAGCGGCAACAGCUCAAAUUUGAAAUCUGGCCCCCCCCGGGGGGCCCGAGUUGUAAUUUGCAGAGGAUGCUUUGGGCGAGGCGCCUUCCGAGUUCCCUGGAACGGGACGCCACAGAGGGUGAGAGCCCCGUCUGGUCGGACGCCGAGCCUCUGUAAAGCUCCUUCGACGAGUCGAGUAGUUUGGGAAUGCUGCUCAAAAUGGGAGGUAUAUGUCUUCUAAAGCUAAAUACCGGCCAGAGACCGAUAGCGCACAAGUAGAGUGAUCGAAAGAUGAAAAGCACCUUGAAAAGGGGGUUAAACAGUACGUGAAAUUGUUGAAAGGGAAGCGCUCGUGACCAGACUUGGGGCGGGCGGAUCAGCCGGCGUUCUCGCCGACGCACUCCGCCCGUCCCAGGCCAGCAUCAGUUCGCGCCGGGGGACAAAGGCGGCGGGAACGUGGCUCCCCAGGGAGUGUUAUAGCCCGCCGCGCCAUGCCCCGGGGGCGGACUGAGGGCCGCGCAUCACUGCAAGGAUGCUGGCGUAAUGGUCACCAGCGACCCGUCUUGAAACACGGACC